rnacentral:tRNA from 1 species
ACAAGAUAUACAAUCAGCAUUAAUUGCUAACUUUUGCUGUCGAAUAACCCUCGAAUCUCGUA